rnacentral:lncRNA from 1 species
UUUAGGAGAGUACAGCUGUAACGACAUUUAUUAAAUGGCAUGCUACAACAACUAGAGUUAAGAAUUAGGUAUAGAUACCAAGCAACCAGCAAAUACACUAAACUAAAAGAAUCAGCUUUAAAAAUAAUCUAAUUAACCAUGCACUACACGGUCAGAAAAUAGGUUUCUUUAAUAUUACAUCUUCUUUUCAGUUCUAAGUCAUAUCAACAAUCAUGGAAUGCUUUUUAUGCAAUGACACAAAGAUGCUUUACAAAUGAAAGCUGUUGCUUAUUAAAGUAUAAAUUUUAUUUUAUUUUUUUAAUAUAAAACAUUUUACGCUUCCAUUUGUUCCCUAGAACACUUUUGCCAGGUUUCGAAAAAACCACAAAACGUGAUUUUACAAAUAUUUACAGCAUUUUCUUGGGUUAGAUGAACAUUUUUAUAAACUGAAAGGGAACAUCUAUGAACAGAUCAUGUAAAACGAGGGAAUCUCAGCAAUUCUUAGUCAUGCUAUGUGUCUCUUGAACACAGCACUAAAAGUAGUCCAUUAACCUUUGGCUUAUCUCACACCAUUUGGUUCACAUUAUAAUCUCAUUUUCCACUGGGUUUCACCCACCAACAGUGAUCUCAGGUAAAGGCCACUUUGCGUUGGGUCUUCCCAUCAGAAAGGAGCAUAAGAGAAAACAUAGGUUUUCCACAAGAUGUCUCAGUAAAACCAGAACCGUCAUUCUUUGGUCAGAGAAUUAGGUGAUGUCCUGAUGCAAGAAUCUGCUUGGCUAGCAACCUUUGUCUUGUGCUGCUGCAUUUCUAGGGUGAACCUUUGCAGAAAGUGGAUAGCAUAUUCCAAAAGAAUUGGAAAGUGCUUAAAAUGAAAUAAGUACAUAGGUGGUGGCUUCCCACUCAUAAACAAUGUGCAGUUUCCAAGAACUCAAAAACUGCUUACAGAGACAACAUUAGUCUGCUAAGGUAAAAUCUUUCUUCAUCUAUGUAAGCAUUUAAUUUUUUUGGGACUGAUACAGGCACAUGUUAUUACUAUUCAAAGUUAGAAAUAGGUGGGUUAUGCUUGGAUUCCUGCAUAUUGUGGUACAAAAGAGAAAACUGCAAUAGUAAAGGCAGCUGAAACAGCUGUAAUUCACUUCUUGUAUAGUCAGUAGACAACAUUCAUCUUUUACUAUACAAAUAUACAACUUAUAGGGGAAAAUAUGCAUUGGACUUAAGACAGCAAUAGAUACGAAAAAACACUACAUCUAAAACCACUGAAGGCACAUAAACUUUGGUCC